rnacentral:pre_miRNA from 1 species
AUACUACUCUCUCCGUUCGGAAUUACUUGUCUUGAAAAUGGAUGUAUCGAAUUACUUGUCGCAGAAAUUGAUCUAUCUAGACAUAUUUUAAUUUUAGAUACAUCCAUUUUCAAGACAAGUAAUUCCGAAUGGAGGGAGUACUUC